rnacentral:lncRNA from 1 species
AAACUGUCCGACAGUCAACGGAUAAGAUCUCUUUAUGAGGAUCUAUCAGGACUAUUAGAGGAUCUCUCUAAAAUCUAAAAAAUCUCAAAAGAGACAUAAUCCAAAAAGAGACACUUUUAGAGAGAGAAAAUGCUAUUUUUUUAGAGAGAAAAAAUCAUACUUUCUAGAAAGAGAAAGUAGGGAUUCAAAUUUAGAGCAAGG